CGCAGCAUAGGGAAACGGUCAUCCCGUGUGGCUCAUAACCACGAUGUCGCAGGUUCAAAUCCUGCCGCUGCAACCA
rnacentral:tRNA from 1 species